CAAGUCCUGCGGCGUGCCGUCCUCUGGGGUGCGGCACGGAGGUACAACAAUCGGCUGUGUGUCAACUCCCGAUUUAUGUGUGUGUGUGUGUGUGUGUGUGUCUGUGCUAUGGGAAAUCUUUCAAUUUUACUGAAAUCGUGCAAAUUUUGAGAAUAGUGUAACUUGAU